rnacentral:rRNA from 1 species
AAGACAACUCUCAACAACGGAUAUCUUGGCUCCCGCAACGAUGAAGAACGCAGCGAAAUGCGAUACGUAGUGUGAAUUGCAGAAUUCCGUGAACCAUCGAAUCUUUGAACGCAUAUUGCGCCCCACGGCCUCGGCCCAGGGCAUGUCUGCCUCAGCGUC